CCUGGUGGCCAUAUCGGUGGGGUCACACCCGUUCCCAUUCCGAACACGGACGUUAAGCCCACCUGAGCCGAUGAUACUCGCAAGGGGAAAGUAGGUCGCUGCCAGGA
rnacentral:rRNA from 1 species